AUGAUGCCGAGGGUACACCCGUUCCCAUCUCGAACACGGUAGUUAAGCUCGGUGAUGCUGAAGAUACUUGGUCGGUGACGGCCUGGGAAAAUAGGGUGAUGCCA
rnacentral:rRNA from 1 species